UACGGGGGGGUAAGCGUUGUUCGGAAUUACUGGGCGUAAAGGGCGCGUAGGCGGCCUUCUAAGUCGGACGUGAAAUCCCUCGGCUCAACCGGGGAACUGCGUCCGAUACUGGAUGGCUUGAAUUCGGGAGAGGGAUGCGGAAUUCCAGGUGUAGCGGUGAAAUGCGUAGAUAUCUGGAGGAACACCGGUGGCGAAGGCGGCAUCCUGGACCGAGAUUGACGCUGAUGCGCGAAAGCCAGGGGAGCAAACGGG
rnacentral:rRNA from 1 species